UGGGGAAUAUUGGACAAUGGGCGCAAGCCUGAUCCAGCCAUGCCGCGUGUGUGAAGAAGGCCUUCGGGUUGUAAAGCACUUUUGUCCGGAAAGAAAUCCUGUCGGCUAAUACCCGGCGGGGAUGACGGUACCGGAAGAAUAAGCACCGGCUAACUUCGUGCCAGCAGCCGCGGUAAUACGAAGGGUGCAAGCGUUACUCGGAAUUACUGGGCGUAAAGCGUGCGUAGGUGGUUUGUUAAGUCUGAUGUGAAAGCCCUGGGCUCAACCUGGGAACUGCAUUGGAUACUGGCUUACUGGAGUGCGGUAGAGGGUGGCGGAAUUCCCGGUGUAGCAGUGAAAUGCGUAGAUAUCGGGAGGAACAUCCGUGGCGAAGGCGGCCACCUGGACCAGCACUGACACUGAGGCACGAAAGCGUGAGGAGCAAACAGGAUUAGAUACCCUGGUAGUCCACGCCCUAAACGAUGCGAACUGGAUGUUGGGAGCAAUUAGGCUCUCAGUAUCGAAGCUAACGCGUUAAGUUCGCCGCCUGGGAAGUACGGUCGCAAGACUG
rnacentral:rRNA from 1 species